rnacentral:tRNA from 1 species
GGAUGUAGCGCAGCCCGGUAGCGCGCUUCGUUCGGGACGAAGAGGCCGCUGGUUCGAAUCCAGUCAUCCCGA